GGAACACAUGAGACAAGGGGUCCUG
rnacentral:piRNA from 1 species